UUUAGAGGAGGUUCGAUUAAGAUCGCUGCAUCAUGCAGCAACAUCGAACCAACCCACGUCGUGUGGG
rnacentral:sRNA from 1 species